AGGCUUGAAGAGCUUUCCGGGAGCGGUGACUCUCAUCUGCACGAAGAUGAGCCCACUGUGGACCUUCCUCUUCGUGCUGUCAGCUCCCAGCGGGGUCCUGUCCCAGGUGCAGCUGCAGGAGUCGGGACCCAGCCUGGUGAAGCCCUCACAGACCCUCUCCCUCACCUGCGCUGUCUCUGGAUUCUCAUUAAGCAGCAAUGCUGUAGGCUGGGUCCGCCAGGCUCCAGGGAAGGCGCUGGAGUGGGUUGGUGGAAUAGGUUAUAGUGGAAGCACAGGCUAUAACCCAGCCCUGAAAUCCCGGCUCAGCAUCACCAGGGACACCUCCAAGAGCCAAGUCUCUCUCUCACUGAGCAGCGUGACACCAGAGGACACAGCCGUCUAUUACUGCGGAAGAGUUCUUCUGGGGCAUUGGUCCAGUAGGUGAAGGUACCAGGUGGCAAC